GACAGAGGUGCCGAGCGUUAGGCGGAAUCACUGGGCUUAAAGCGUGUGUAGGCGGGCCCGUAAGUACCUUGUGAAAUCCCACCGCUCAACGGUGGAACUGCUCGGUAUACUGCGGGUCUUGAGCCACCUAGGGGCAGCCGGAACAAGCGGUGGAGCGGUGAAAUGCGUAGAUAUCGCUUGGAACGCCAACGGUGAAAACAGACUGCUGGGGGUGUGCUGACGCUGAGACACGAAAGCCAGGGGAGCGAACGGG
rnacentral:rRNA from 2 species